CGCAAUCAAUCACAAAUAAUACACAUUUGCUUGAUUAUUAUAGUUCCGCCGUUAGGUUAGGCGUAGUAAGAAAGCAAUGGCUGAGCAGCUAAAAGAACAAGAGCACCUGGAUGUCCUCACCAAGACGGGACAGAAGUCUGGCAUCUCCAAACCCAGGGGGGACAUUCACAGAGAUGGGGAUUACCAUCGAGCUGUUCAUGUGUGGAUUUAUUCAGAGAGUACGCAAGAACUACUUCUCCAACGACGUGCUGACUGCAAGGAUUCAUGGCCAGGGUUAUGGGAUAUCUCUAGUGCAGGCCAUAUAUCUGCUGGUGAUUCUUCCCUUAUCACAGCCAGGAGGGAGCUCCAUGAAGAGCUUGGUGUAAUCCUUCCGAAGGAGGCAUUUGAGUUGAUAUUUGUUUUUCUUGAAGAGUGUGUCAUAAAUGAUGGAAAAUUCAUCAAUAAUGAAUUCAAUGAUGUAUAUCUAGUGACAACUUUGGCUCCAAUUCCUUUGGAGGCCUUUACUCUUCAGGACUUGGGCACAGGAAGACGAUUGGAAGUGGAUGUGGGGACAAUGGCUUGUAUUUGCUGGACGCAAGACCAACUUUUUAUUAUCUUGCAAAUCAAUCUAGUGUUAGAAAUAGAAUCAGAAGUCUCAGCUGUUAAAUAUAUCUCUUUGGAGGAGUAUAAGAGCUUACUUGCUAAUGAAGAUCCUGAGUACGUCCCCUAUGAUGUAAAUGGGCAGUAUGGCCAACUCUUUGACGUAAUUGUAAAACGGUAUAAUGAAAACAUAGAGGCACGGAGUUUGGCUAUACAAAAACAGCUCUCUCGUUAUGCUCGUAUCUCGCUAGAUGCUGAGUUGAUUGGGCUCACUGAUGUAGACAAAGAAGCUCUGGUGUUACUUAUUCAAGCUGCGGCAGUGAUAGAUGCAAUUUUUUACCUGCAGGUUUGGUGCAGUAAUUCAACUUUAAGGGAUUGGUUGAAGAAGCAUGCAGAUAUAUCUCCUCUGGACAAGUUAAAGUGGAUAUAUUAUUUGAUUAAUGGAAGUCCAUGGUCUUGCCUUGAUGAAGAUGAGGCAUUUUUGACAACUGCAGACUCGGCCAUUAAGUUGCUUCCCGAAGCUACAAAGCCGUCAAAAGGGUGGAAGGGGCUUGAAUAUAGGGCUGCUUUUCCCAUGCUGAAACCACCUGGUGCAAAUUUCUAUCCUCCAGAUAUGGACAAAAAGGAAUUUAAUUUAUGGAAGGAUACUCUUAAGGAGGAUGAGAAAAAUGAUGCAACAGGCUUUUUCACUGUUAUCAAAAGGCGCAGUGAAUUGAAUUUGGACGCAUCACUUUCCAAAACUACAGUAGGUAGCACGAGUCAUUUGGUGGGAUCUGCUCAUGAUCUCUAUACCGUUCCUUACUCUCAGGAGUAUAAACCUUUCCUUGCCAAAGCUGCUGAAUUACUGCAUAAAGCGGGAGACUUGACCAGCUCACCUAGUUUGAAGAGGUUAUUACAUAGCAAGGCUGAUGCUUUUCUUUCAAAUGACUACUAUGACUCAGAUAUUGCCUGGAUGGAAUUGGACUCUAAGUUGGAUGUUACAAUUGGCCCAUAUGAAACAUAUGAAGAUUCACUUUUUGGGUACAAGGCAACAUUUGAGGCAUUUAUUGGAAUUCGGGAUGAUGAAGCAACAGCACAACUUAAACUCUUUGGCGAUUAUCUAAAGGUUUUGGAAGAAAAUCUUCCAAUGGAAAAUGUGUACAAAUCAAAAGAUGUUAUUUCAGCUCCUAUUCGUGUCAUCCGACUCCUUUAUAAUGCAGGGGAUGUCAAGGGUCCUCAAACUGUUGCGUUUAAUCUUCCAAAUGAUGAACGCAUUGUAAAAGAUAGAGGAACAUCAAUGGUCAUUCUUAAGAAUGUUUCAGAGGCGAAGUUCAAGCAUAUUCUUCAACCUAUAGCUGACGUCUGUAUUACAACGGAACAACGUGAAUAUGUAGACUUCAAUUCUUUCUUCACUCACACAAUUUGUCACGAGUGCUGCCAUGGGAUUGGACCUCAUACUAUAAUACUUCCAAAUGGUCAAAAGUCUACAGUGAGAUUGGAAUUCAAUAAUAAUGGAGCACUGCAGCAAUUACUGAAAUCUUAACAUUGGAAUUAUUAUAGAGCAGACUUAAGAGAUAAGGCAUUAACUCAUUAGUUGCAUCUCCUAAAAGUAUGGAUGUUUUCAAAGAGGUCUGAGAUAUACCUGAAGUAUGGAUGUUUUCAAAUAGAUGUGAACAGAGAAAAAUCACUAAUCAUAUGAUGUGUAGUCCCAGAGUCAACAACCCAUGUAGUCCAAGAUAUACCUGAAGAAGACAAACCUACCGAGGAAGCUGAAGCAGACCAACUGUAAGAGACUGAAAGAGUUUGAAGAGAGCCCAAUUCCUACUGGCCAUCUUUAAAAAAAAAAAAAAUUAAACUGCCAAUAUUUUGCUCAAUAUACAACUAGUCUGUAUUACCACCGACGAAAAGUCCCAAAGUACCUCUGCCCAAUAUUCAGCUGAUCUGUAUUACCACUGCCCAAAAGUCCCAAAGUACAGAAAAGCAACGAGAGAAGAAUACAAAUGAGUUGCAACAGGUCACUAUUAUACCCAAAGUCACACGAUGCAAACCAGAAUAUUGCGAGACCAAUUCAAACAGAGGAGAAACUUCUGAACAGAAACCGAGAAGACGAAUUGCGAUUUUGGUGCUGCGAGCAAGCUGGGUCGAAGUCAAAAUGAUGCAAAGUCGUAGACUGAAGCCAGACGAAGUGUGAUUGUUGCUGCAAUGUGUUGCGAUGAAAGGGCAAGAACAAAAAUAAAAUAAAAUGUUGCAAACCAAGUCGAUAGUUGUGAUUAGGGUUUGCAAUUAUGCAAACUAGAUGAGGUCAAUAUAUUACUGUUGCGAUGCUGGUGUGAUGGUGCGAAAAAUUGCAGUUUAGGGUUCGUAGUUGCUGUGAGAGACGGUGCAAACGGAAACACAAAAUCGAUGAUACGUUGUGAGACAUGGCUGCUCUGAACAGAGAAGAAGAAAGAGAGGAGAUAUGGACAGAUUGCAACUGGGAACUUGCUGAUGCGAACAGAUUGCUGAGGUGAUUCCUAUUACAGAUGCAAUUGCUGCCAUAGGGUUGUGAAUAAAUUGAAGAAGAGAAUAGAAGAUGAUGCGAUGCAAGUUGGUUGACUGCAAAGUCAAACAAAGUCCAGUAGCGAUUGCAAUCUUAGGGCCGGAAACAAACAUGCUCUGAUACCAUGAAAACUUGAAAGAGACUGAUAUGUUAUUCAAUUGUGUAUUAUUCAGUAUGUAACAGCAAUAAUACAAGUACAAAAGAAAUAUAAUAUAUGCCCUAAACUAACUAAAGAAGAGAAAAUACAAUAUUGUCCUCAACAAUAAAACUAAACCUCAAAACUAAUACUCUUAACAGUCAUGAGUCUAUAGGAUGUGCAUUAUUGCUUGUAAAAGAUCCUCAUUCAUCACCUCAUUUUUUUCAGCUUCAUCAACCUGAGGCUUCGUUGUUUAAUAAUGUAUCUUCUCUCACAUUCAGCUGAAAUUGACUCAUCAAUUGCCAAAAUGUGUUAUAUUGCUUUUUGGGGGGCUUUCAGAAUUCAUGUGUGGAAUACUUGAGUGCUCAUGUAUUAACACUUAGUGUGAAAUAUGAUGACAAAUAAUGUCUUAGGAAAAUUGUGAGGGUAGAUCUAACUAGUAUCACAUCCCUACUGUUUCGUAUUUUUCAAUCCAUUGAACUGUAACUUUUUAAUUUCAUGGUAGAGGCAUCAUGAUGUUGCCAGGGGCUUAUUUGUUAUUUCUUAUAUAAUGUUGGGUGCUUAUGUGUAAUUUUUGAAUCUUGUUAGUAAAAAUAGAAUGUGAUGGAAGGAUGAAAGCAUUCUUUCUCUCUUUCCCAUCUCUUUCUCUUUUUUCUCUCUUUCUUCUCUUCUUCUUCUUCAUCUUCUUCUACUUGACUCUUGUUUUGAUUCUCUUAAAGUCAACAUGGUAUCAGAGCAUGGUUUGUAGAGCUCUAGGGUGUGUAGUUGAAACGCUAGGGCAAGUUUGUGUUUUCCCUAGUGGGUGUGAAGGGUUUUGAAGAGAUUCCAAGGUGGGAUUUGUUUACAAGGAAGUAGUGUUAAUCACAUCCACAUGCAUGGUCUCAAGUGGUGGUUUUUUUUCGUGUCUGUGUGGUUCUACAACAACGGCUUUCUCUUCGUCAUUCGCGAUUCUGGUAUGGUCUACUUUGUUGCUUUCUAGGGUUUGUGUGGUGACUGUGUGGUCAUUUUUUUAUGCAUCUCAGAAGACAGUAAUAUAUUUUUUUGAUGUUUGUGUGUUAGAGGGGUGGUUCUCUUGUUCUGUUUCUGAGGAGCGUAUACCCAGAAAUUGUUUGAUAAAAUGUCUAACUCAUAGGUGACUUCAAAAUAGGCGGUCUUCUUCUAGUUUGACUCCAGUGUUGGGAGGUAGUAGUGAUCACCAUCCAAGCCUUUGUAUUACGACUGUUAUGCUGGAUGAGACGAACUAUAUGAAGUGGACUCAAUCUGCUCAUAUGCAUAUAACUAGACCUAGGAUGAUCCCCAUGUGGAAAUGACUAUCACAUACCCUCCAAGAGCGAUCCUGAAUUCAAAGAGUGGAUUGCAAAUUAUGCACUAGUUAUGACGUGGUUGUUACAGUCAAUGCAACCACAGAUCUGCAAGGGGUUUCUGUUUGUGAAAGUAGCUAAAGAGCUAUGGGAUGCUAUGAAAGAGACAUUCUUCGGCUGAUAAUUUUGCAAAAGUGUAUGAGCUUCAACAAGAGAUUUCAAGAUUCAAGCAGGAAGACCAAACUCUUGCUACGUAUUACCACACUCUGCGCGGGAAAUGGGAAAAGUUAGAUCACUACCAAGACUAUAUACCUGUGUGUGCAGUUGAUGUUAAAACAUUUCAGGCUAUGGUAGAAAAGAAUCGAAUCUAUGAGUUCUUGGAUGGUCUGUAUUCGAAAUACGAGCAUGCCAGGGUACAAGUGUUAGGCUGGCAUCCAUCUCCUAAUUCUAUUAGAGAUUUGUUUUCUUACAUCCAAACUUAGGAGAGUAGAAUGAAGGCUAUGUCUGCACAUAUAUGCACUAAACCUCAGCCAGAAGUACCAUUGUUUGAAAGGUUUGCUCUUGCCACACAACAAUGGAAACCCUCCAAAAGGAGGGAAGCAGGAUGAGAAGAGUAAGUUGAGGUUUGAUCACUGGAAAUACGCUCCACACUAGGGAAACAUGCUAGAAUCUACAUGGUCACCCUACUCGAGCUCCUGCUCAUGCGAAUGCUAGGCUAAGGCUUGGUCUAUUUAGGAGGUGAUCUACGGCACAUGUUACAGCACAUGAGACAGCUUCUACUGGUCAUGUCUUCUCAGGGCCACUGAAUUCUUUAUCCAUAGUUGAAGUUGAUGCUCUUCGACAUUUGCUUGUUCAAAAUGCCUACACUUCCACCUCUAACUUUGCUCAGACAAGUACCUCUUAUUCGUCACAUCAUGUUUCAACAUUAUCUGGUGGGCCACCCUGGGUCGUUGAUUCAAGAGCCAUUGAUCACAUGAUUGGUAUGCCCUCUGAUUUCUCUUCAUACAGUUUAUGUUGUGGUAGGGAUAAGGUUAGAGUCACUGAUGGCACCUUCUCCAUGUCCCUAAUCUUAUCUUAUCCUAAUCUUACCUUAUCCUCUUUUCUCCAUGUCACUGAUAAGGUUAGUUUCUACCUCUCCUAAUCUUACCUUAUCCUCUUUUCUUCAUGUCCCAAAGUUUACAAAUAACCUCCUCUUUGUCAGUCACGUUACAAAAGGCUUGAAUUGUAGUGUAACCUUUUUUCCAUCUCCCUGUGUGUUUUUGGACUUGGACACGGGGAAGACGAUUGGGAGUGGACGUAAGGACAAUGGCUUGUAUUUGUUGAACGCAAGGCCAACCUUUUAUUAUGGUGCAAAUCAAUCUAGUGUUAGGAAUAGUAAUGUCAUAAAAGAUCUGUUAAUGCGAUGGCAUAAUAAACUCGAUCAUUUACGUAUUCCUGUUUUGAAGCAUGUGCUUCCCCAGUUUGCUUCUGUUAAAUCUUUUAAGUUAAAUUGUGAAACAUAAACAAUGUUGUGUUUCUUAUUUUACUAGUAUUAAUGAAAGUACUGCUCCUUUGCAACGUGUUCAUUAUGAUGUGUGGGGUCCUGAAUGUACUACUUCAUUACUUGUUUUUCUUUAUUUUGUUGUGUUUGUUGAUGAUCUUAUGAAAACCAAUGAUGAAGUUCGUUCCAUUUUUAAAACCUUUCAUAAGAUGUACUCAGUUUGGUUGUCCCCUCAAAAUCCUUCGAUCUGAUAAUGGAGGAGAGUUUAUGUAUAGUGGUCUUGCCUCCUUUUUUGCUAAUAACGGGAUUGUCCAUCAAACCUCCUUUGUUGAUACACCACAACAGAACGGUGUAGUUGAAAGAAAACAUUGUCAUAUUACGGAGCUGACCCGUUCUCUUCUAAUUAGGAUAGGAGUGCCUAUAAGUUAUUGGGCUGAUGCAACCUUAACAGUUGCAAACAUUAUCAAUCACAUGCCUUCUAGGGUUCUUGGCCAUCAAUCCCCCUUCUCUGUUUUACACCAUCACACUGCCUUGUUUGCUGCCCCUUUGAAAGUGUUUGGUUGUGUUUUCUUAUGUUCACAUUUAUCAUCGCAAGGACAAAAUAGACCCUAAGGCAAUCCAAUUUGUCUAUCUUGGAUGCUCCGCCACUAGAAAGGGUAUCGGUGUUAUAAUCCUACCACUUGUCAUCGGUUUGUCUCUAUGGAUGCUACAUUCUUUGAGUCUGUUUCCCUUUUUUUUUUUUUUUACACUGCUUGGGAUUCUUUAUAGGGGGAGACUGCUAUUGAUGUAGAGAAUCCAUCUUCCAUUCAAAGGGAAUGGCCCCUUCCAUCGCCUGUUCCCAUUCAGGGGGAGGUUCCCAUUUCGGAGGAGCUUCUUACUGAAGUGCCUAUGUCUGAUCCUCCUAACACUAAUGAUUUGCAGCAGGGAAAGCUGCCAAUUGUCUAUACUAGGAGGGCAAAAGAAGUCACAAACUCAGCCCAAAACCACGAUGUCACCCUCGAUCCAGGAACUGCAAGAACUCCACUCAGCUUUGGAAGAAGCUAAAGCUGAUAUUGUUGGCCUUUGGGCCCUAAAAUUUCUAAUUGGCCAG